CCUACGGGUGGCAGCAGUGGGGAAUAUUGCACAAUGGGGGAAACCCUGAUGCAGCGACGCCGCGUGAAGGAAGGAGUAUUUCGGUAUUUAAACUUCUAUCAACAUGGAAGAAAAUGACGGUACCUGACUAAGAAGCCGCGGCGAACUACGUGCCAGCAGCCGCGGUAAUAGUGAGGGGGCAAGCGUUAUCCGGAUUUACUGGGUGUAAAGGGAGCGUAGGCGGUUUAGCAAGUCAGAAGUGAAAGCCCGGGGCUCAACUCCGGGACUGCUUUUGACACUGUUGAACUAGAUUGCAGGAGAGGUAAGGGGAAGUCCUAGUGUAGCGGUGAAAUGCGUAGAUAUUAGGAGGAACACCAGUGGCGAAGGCGGCUUACUGGACUGUAAAUGACGCUGAGGCUCGAAAGCGUGGGGAGCAAACAGGAUUAGAUACCCUAGUAGUC
rnacentral:rRNA from 1 species